rnacentral:tRNA from 1 species
GAGUUUGAACCCUAAGGAAGGGAGUUUAACUGAUAAUUAAAAAAUAGAGGUUCAAUUCCUCACAAACUCU